AUGAAGUUCCACUUCAUGAUGGAAUUGAACAACGACAUCUCCAAGACUAUCUUCCUCGAGAACUACAAGUCCCUCGACGACAACUACAUUGGUGCUCUCAAGGCAGAACGAGAACUCAUGAAGGCCAAGGAUUCUCCACCCCAAGCAAACUUCGCGACAACCAAGCUUCAUGACGGCGAGCAUGAGGCUAGUACCAUCGAGAUGUCCAAGCCCUAUGAGCUCCAAGAUGACAUUCCCAAGUUCGAAUUCACCGCCAUCCCUCUUUGUGGCAUUGAUGAUGCCGAGUCUACUACGACUCUUUUUCAAGACGGUGCAGCGACAAGUACAACUAUGGAGCAACUCAACGAUCAAGAUUUGGAGGCGAGCGACACGGUGAUGAGCAAGGAUGAGAGUGAUGAUGUGUCACCUUCGGCCUUCAUCCAUGAUGAGAGUGAUGAUGUGCAAUCUUCGGCCUUCAUCCACGAUGAGAGUGAUGAUGUGCCAUCUUCGGCCUUCACACACGACGAGAGUGAUGAUGUGCCAUCUUCGACCUUCAUCCACGAUGAGAGUGAUGACGUUCCAUCUUCGGCCUUCAACCACGACGAUGACUACGAGAUGGUUGAGCAUGGGAUUUUCCCUUCGACCACGGCGAUUUAUGAUGACUCGAGUGACUUUUGCCAUCAUAUUGAGAGUGAGAGUGACUUCACCACUAGCCCCAUAUAUGACGAGUUGCCCCAAUUCCCAUGUGAGGAUAGCCACCACCACCACCACUUGAGUGAUUUGAGUGACUCCACCAUAUGUGACAUUGAGUGCACCUAUUUUGAGGGAGUGAAUGAGCCACCACCACAUAGAGAGAGUGAGGUAGUUGAUAGGGCAUGUGAGGCCAUUUCGAUUUCUAACAACUUAACAUCUACCUCUAUCAUGUCUUCUCAUUUGGUGCUAGAUCCCAUAUAUGAUGACACGCCGAUCUUCGACGACUUCGUCCUUGCCUUGGACAAGACGAUGGCCAUGGUGGACUAUGAUGCACCCACCACAUGGUUCCAUCACGAUGAUGAUGUUGACCACGAUUUGGUCUUUGCCACCUCACGUACACCACAUGAGUGGAAUGAGAAAGGUAACAUAGGUGAAGGUGAUGCUCUAGUCCCACUAGUGGACAUCCUUGAUAUUGAUUGCUUGCAUGAUGUUGAUCCACCUAUUACCAUGUUUCAUGCUAGUAUGAUUUCCCCAAGCGAUAAUUUACCCAUUUAUGAUGAGUUUGAUGAUUCUCAUGUGGAUUCUAUUCGUUGUGAUGCCAUGUUACAUAGGAUUUCUUGUGAUAAUUCUCUUGGUCACAUCAUGUUUGAUAAUCCGCUUGACUUGUCAUAUGAUGCAUGA
rnacentral:rRNA from 1 species